UGCCCCUCACUUGCCAAUACGUCUAGAUCAGCCAGGGCGUCGGCAUGUGUAGCGUAUUAUGUUGGGCUCUCUCGAGAUAAGGAUACGAUGUCCCCUUAUCGGUUGGUUUCCUGUGUGUGCGGCCCGUUCGUUUUUUUUGUUACUUUCGCAUCGUUCGGUGCAUUCUGGGGGCUGUGUUGGCUUUUGGUGGCUUGCUUGGCCUUUUGGCUUUGCUUGUUGCUACUUGUCGGGCUGCUUUCGGGAAUGUCGACCGUGGAGGUGCAUGAGUGGUGUUUGGUUUGUUACGUGUGGAUGGCUGUUUGCUUGUGCAACAACGUUCACGCUGCAUACCUCUUCAGUUUUGCGGCAAGGCUUGGUUUGGCUUGUGCAUAUUGUGGGUUUCCUGUGUUGCAUACCUAGUUGAUGGAAAAGUGUGGGUUUUACGAUUUUCAUUUUCGUCUUGCGUCGUUCUUUUGGCGUGGGAUGAACAAUGAAGCGAUCUUUAUGAUCCAUCGUGCUGUUGCGUUUGCAACAAUGAUGUGGCCUAUGAAGCAUCGUUUGGUCUCUUGUAUACGGAAGCUCAUUUGGGCUUGGGUCUUUAUAAGAUCUUCGUUACGCCCUUGUUAAGCGUUCUCGCUUCUCCUAAACGAUUG
rnacentral:misc_RNA from 1 species